rnacentral:rRNA from 1 species
UGCGGUGGUUAUAGCGGUGAGGAUCCACCUCUUCCCAUCCCGAACAGAGAAGUUAAGCUCACUAGCGCCGAUGGUACUGCCCCACCAGGUGGGAGAGUAGGCAGCUGCCGCUU